AGUAAUGCAUAGGAAUCUGCCCGGUAGUGGGGGAUAACCUGGGGAAACCCAGGCUAAUACCGCAUACGUCCUACGGGAGAAAGGGGGCUUCGGCUCCCGCUAUUGGAUGAGCCUAUGUCGGAUUAGCUAGUUGGUGAGGUAAUGGCUUACCAAGGCAACGAUCCGUAGCUGGUCUGAGAGGAUGAUCAGCCACAUCGGGACUGAGACACGGCCCGAACUCCUACGGGAGGCAGCAGUGGGGAAUAUUGGACAAUGGGGGCAACCCUGAUCCAGCCAUGCCGCGUGUGUGAAGAAGGCCUUCGGGUUGUAAAGCACUUUCAGCGAGGAAGAACGCCUAGCGGUUAAUACCCGCUAGGAAAGACAUCACUCGCAGAAGAAGCACCGGCUAACUCCGUGCCAGCAGCCGCGGUAAUACGGAGGGUGCAAGCGUUAAUCGGAAUUACUGGGCGUAAAGCGCGCGUAGGUGGCUUGAUAAGCCGGUUGUGAAAGCCCCGGGCUCAACCUGGGAACGGCAUCCGGAACUGUCAGGCUAGAGUGCAGGAGAGGAAGGUAGAAUUCCCGGUGUAGCGGUGAAAUGCGUAGAGAUCGGGAGGAAUACCAGUGGCGAAGGCGGCCUUCUGGACUGACACUGACACUGAGGUGCGAAAGCGUGGGUAGCAAACAGGAUUAGAUACCCUGGUAGUCCACGCCGUAAACGAUGUCGACCAGCCGUUGGGUGC
rnacentral:rRNA from 1 species